GUUUCAGUGCUACCUCAAGGCAGCUUUCCUGACGUUUUCAGUCUUUCUGAAAAUGAGGCGCUUAAUGCAAAAAUAACAAGCAACUAUACAUUUCACUGCAUUAGAUAAUUUUUACUGGAGUUUUUAAUUGCCUUUCAUUUUGCAUGAGGGAGUUCUGAAACAUCAAAUGAACUACAACACCACCUGUGAAGUUCUUCCUGCAAAUGUUAAGAUGAAAUUACAGGGAAAUAUCAACAGCAGGCAACUGCAACAGCAAUGAAGAAAAUGUUCUUUCUUUAAGUUCUCCAUGUUAUGUGCUUGUCAGAAUACCACCCAAAUAAGAUUGAGCCUUCAUGCUAUUACAGGCUGAAUAUUUGCAGAAUUUGAUUCCUCUGUAAGAAACUGGAC